rnacentral:pre_miRNA from 1 species
UUUGUACUCCCUCCGUCCCAAAUUCUUGUCUUAAAUUUGUCUAAAUACGGAUGUAUCUAGUUACAUUUUAGUGUUAGGUACAUCCGUAUCUAAACAAAUGUAAGACAAGAAUUUUGGGACGGAGGGAAUACUAC